rfam:Helianthus annuus linkage group 16, whole genome shotgun sequence.
AAGCCAUGAUGUGGAACAUCAAGUAACAAAUCCUUAAAUCGCUCCCAUGCUACGUGCAACGACUCUCCUUCAUCUUGGCGAAAAGUCACAAUCCGGUUCCUUAGCUU